rnacentral:lncRNA from 1 species
CCCUUCUUCCUCUCUCCCUGUUGCUUAGAUCAUAAUUCCCAUGUAGUUUCCUUGUUGCAUUCCUUGGACUUUGGUCUUCUGUGUUUCGAUGGUGGAUUCCUAUGAAGGAACAGACCCACUAGUUGUGGCAUCCAGAUGAAAUCGAAAUGGAGGCUAAACACUGAGGAAAUGAGUUUUGCUCCCUGUGCUGGAAGAAGGCCUGGCUGCCACAGUUGUUGGACUCUGCCUCUGUGCUGUUUUUUUCAGACUGGAAAGGCGGGAGCAGGCAGGUGUGUGACUGGUGUCUUCAUUGCAGUGGGUCAACACUGCCAUCGUGCGGAAAAGCCUUCAGACAUACCUUGCACAUUCAGAAGCCGCUUCCCCAGGGCUGCUUGCAGCCGUUUUGGAGAUUUGGAACCUAAGAUGUAACCUCAGAGCACAAGACAAUCCUAUGUCAGGAGUAAGGCCUGGAGUGGAGCGCUGCUGGGAGAAGAAGAAACUCAAGGCUCCAUCAUCAGCUGGUCACUGACUUCUUCAAAAAUGAGGAUGCCUGAGGGAGGUGGGUGCCUCAAGUCUCCCCCUUCUUCCUCUCUCCCUGUUGCUUAGAUCAUAAUUCCCAUGUAGUUUCCUUGUUGCAUUCCUUGGACUUUGGUCUUCUGUGUUUCGAUGGUGGAUUCCUAUGAAGGAACAGACCCACUAGUUGUGGCAUCCAGAUGAAAUCGAAAUGGAGGCUAAACACUGAGGAAAUGAGUUUUGCUCCCUGUGCUGGAAGAAGGCCUGGCUGCCACAGUUGUUGGACUCUGCCUCUGUGCUGUUUUUUUCAGACUGGAAAGGCGGGAGCAGGCAGGUGUGUGACUGGUGUCUUCAUUGCAGUGGGUCAACACUGCCAUCGUGCGGAAAAGCCUUCAGACAUACCUUGCACAUUCAGAAGCCGCUUCCCCAGGGCUGCUUGCAGCCGUUUUGGAGCAAUCGCCAUCAGGAAUCGCUUCUUGCGCCAUGGCUAA